rnacentral:rRNA from 1 species
UACAGAGGGGGCAAGCGUUGUUCGGAAUUACUGGGCGUAAAGCGCGCGCAGGCGGUCUUCCAAGUCAGUGGUGAAAGCCCGGAGCUCAACUCCGGAAUUGCCAUUGAAACUGUUGGACUUGAGGAUGAGAGAGGUGAGUGGAAUUCCCAGUGUAGAGGUGAAAUUCGUAGAUAUUGGGAAGAACACCAGUGGCGAAGGCGGCUCACUGGCUCGUAACUGACGCUCAUGCACGACAGCGUGGGGAUCAAACAGG